GUUUGAAUCCCCACGAAGGGGUGAGCUCCUGUUGCUCUGUUCCAGCUCCUGCCAACCUAGCAGUUCGAAAGCACGUCCAAGUGCAAGUAGAUAAAUAGGUACCGCUCCGGCGGGAAGGUAAACGGCGUUUCUGUGCAUUGCCCUGGCUCGCCAGAAGCGGCUUAGUCAUGCUGGCCACGUGACCCGGAAGUUGUACGCUGGCUCCCUCGGCCAGUAAAGCGAGAUGAGCGCCGCAACCCCAGAGUCGGCAACGACUGGACCUAAUGGUCAGGGGUCCCUUUACCUUUACCUUUUAUGUGAAGAAAGUGGGUAGAGAAUGGCAUGGAAAAGGUGGAAAGAGAAAAGUUUUCAUCCCUUGAUCAUAACUCCUAGAACUCACGGACAUCCAGUGAAGCUGAAUGUUGGGAGAUUCAGGACAGAUUAAAAAAGUACUUCUUCACAUAGUGCCUUGUUGAAACUAUGGGACUUACUCUCACAGGAAGCAGUGAUGGCCACGAACUUGGAUAGUAUUAAAAGAAGUUUAGACAAAUUCAUGGAGAAUUUGGCAUGUCAAGAACUUGGCAUGUCAAGAGCGCCGGAACAGGAAUAACUGUUUAUGGUCAUGGAUGUCAACUUAUGUGUAUAAGCUGACGUGCUUGAAUUCCUGGGGAAGGGGGGAGAGGGUGCCUGGAGGAUAUAUAUACUGCAUGAAAUUUCUCAUUUCUUUGGACUUGCUGUGAGCUGACCACACAAGUGCCUUCUGCUAUCUAGAGAGCAGAAUAAACUCUUUCUCUGAACCAACCCUCGGUGUCAUUUGACUUCCUUCCUCCCGUCCGGGAGCAACGCUCACCCUACCAAUUAGUAAAGUCCAAUAAGGCUACACUAUCAAUGGCUAUUAGCCAUGAUGGCUGCAGUCUCCCUCCACUGUCAGAGGCAACAUGCUUUCAGAACACCAGUUGGUAGGAACUGCAGGUGGGGAGAGCAUUGCUGCUACACUUGGGUUCUGUUUGCAGGCUUCCCAGAGGCACCUGUGUGGCCCCCGUGAGGACAGGAUGCUAGACUAGAUGAACCAUUGGCCUGAUCCAGCAGGACUCUUCUUAAGUUCUUUCUAGGCAGGCACCUUACGGUAUUGUGUUUGGUGCCUGCUAAAAACACUUCUGCGUAGGCAAGCCAAUCCAGACUGGUCAAGUUAAUAUUUUUAGAUGUAAGUUUCUUCUAUACUGUAUAUUGUUAACUGGUGAUUUUAUCACUCUUUUUUUUUGGGGGGGGGGGGAGGUCAACUAGUUUUUAGCAAUAAUUUUAAUGUAUAUUUUAUAUAAACUACUUACAGGUUUUUACAAUUAAUUGGCAAACAAAUUCUAUUAAAUAAAUAAAAUAGAAUUACCGGGUAUGCACAACAAUUAUCUACCUACCUACCUACCUACCUAAAUGCAUGCACUUGAGACAGGCCAUAGCACGGAUGUCCAUUUUACAGCUGAGCAAACUGAGGCUGGGGAUGAAAAAAAUGGCAUCUUCCCUUUCUAGAGUGGGGGGUUAACCCCAGGGCCCCUGUCCUGUUGCCUCAUUACCUCCUCCUCUCCAAGUGAGGGGGGAAACCAAACCUUCCCUUUUAUGUGUGUUUGUUUGUGGGUAUGGGACUGGUGUUGAACCCCCUUCUCUCUUUCUCUUCUCCUCUGUUCCAGACACGACGGCGGCCCUGCGCCUCAUGGAAGAGUCAUUGUUGCUGGACCAGAAUUUCCGACACAAGGCAGAAAAGCUCCUUGGGAUUUUCCAAAGUGAACUGUUUCAGGCUCUCCUGGGUGCGUAUGGGAGGUAGCUGACACCAGGACUGAUGGGGGGAGCAAGCCAGGGUGCUGCUUGAAGAAAUUGAGGAGGAGCCUAAUGGGCAAGGGGCAGGGCUUACAUGCAGUACUCAGUCCAGCUUUCCCAAGCCUGGGGCCCACCAGAUGUUGUAGUCCAAAACAGCUAGAGGGCUCCAGGUUAGGAAAAAGUAGUUUAGUUUCUGAAAGUCAAUGCAUGAGUCAUUUCCCUCCUAACAGCCCAACUCCCAAUGUGGAGUAUGAGGUGCAGGGCAGGGAAUGCACUCUGAAUGUGCUCAGAGCCACACUCAUCUUGAUUAACAAAAGAAUUGUAGAGUUGGAAGGGACCCCAAGGGUCAUCUAGUCCAACUUUUUGCAAUGCAGGAAUCUCUAUGAGAUCAUACAAGACAGGCGGCCAUCCAACUUUUGCUUAAAAACCUCCAGUGAAGGAGAGUCCACCACCUCCCGAGGGAGUCUGUUCCACUGUCAAGCAGUUCUUACCAUCAGAAAUUUAUUCCUGAUAUUUAGUUGGAAUCUCCUUUCUUGUAACUUAAAUCUACUGGUUUGGGUCCUAUCCCUCAUCUUCCAUGUGACUGCCCUUGAGAUAUUUGAAGAUGCUAACAUAUCUCCUCCCAGUCUCCUCUUUACCAGGCUAAACAUACCCAGUUCCCUCAACCAUUCUUCAUACAACUUGGUUUCCAGACCCUUGAUCAUCUUUGUCACCCUCCUCUGCCCACACUCCAGCUUGUAAAUAUCCGUCUUAAAUUGUGGUGCCCAGAACUGGACACAGUACUCCAGAUGUGGUCUGACCAAGACAGAAUCGAGUGUGACUAUGACUUCCCUUGAUCUGGAUCCUAGACUUCUGUUGAUGCAGCCUGAGGCCUUGAAGUUAAUAAGCCCUGCCUGCCCCAUAUGUAUAGAUAAGCUAGAGAACUAGGUUCAGAAGCCAAUGAAGUGUGGCGUUGUGAAGGAGGGCUACUGAGAAAGUGUGCAGGAAGCGAAAAAGAACCUGAAAGCUUCUUGGAGAGGCAGAAAUAAGAGGAAGCUGCCUUAUGCUGAGACUAUUGGUCCAUGUGGCUCAAUAUUUUCUACACUGACUGGGAAAGCUCCCCAGGGUUUCAGACAGGGAGUGUCUCCCAGUCCUAUGUGCAGAUGCAUCAAGGAUUGGACCUAGGAUCUUCUGUAGAGGCUCUGCCACUGAGCUGCAUCCCUCUCCUAAAUAGUGGUGUAAAUGGGCAAGCAGACAUUGCAUAUUGGAGGGGGCAGGGCAGGGAGAAUUCCCACUAAAAUUUUCAAUGACCGCCGUUUCCCAGGAGAGAAGUUUUUGAAAAAUAGUUCCUGACUAUAUUUUUAGAUUAAAAGAUCUUAAGUUAUUUUUGAGCAGGGAUCUCAAGUCCUGUAAUUUUCCAAGAUUUCAAAACACUGUUUAGAGGAGCUAAAAAUGCAGAAGGCCAAGGGGGGAAAUGAAGCAACUGUGUUUAAUUUGUUUUGCAGGUGGGCGGGUUGCACACGGGUUCAAAUAGCCAACCAAGUGCGGUUAGCUUUAUCACGGGGUACAAAUACUUUUUGAAAUGGGUACCUGAGCCUUCUAGAUGCUUUGGACUACAACACCCAUCAGCCUCAGCUGAUAGUAGUCCAAAAUAUCUGGAAGGCUCCAGGCUGGGGUCUAUGAAGCAUAAUUCCCUGAGGAAAGGGAAGAGGAUCUGGCUGCGGCAGUUGCUUAUCUGAACUUGAUAAACUGAGGAGGGUCUUAAAGCAAUGAAGCAAUGGGGGUGGGGGGAGAAGUGGGUGAAGCUUAAAAGUGGGAGGAGCUUGUUGGUUGGCUGGGGUUUAGAAGGGGAAUUGUAGGGGAAAGAGAAUGGCCAAAGUUAGGGAAGACUUUCUUCUUCUUUGGGAAUUAGGGAAUCAGAGGGGAAUUAGGCAUUAUCUCCUGAAUACCAGGCCUGAGCUUUGAAGGGGAGGGAGGAGGCGGAAGAUGAAGCUUGUGGUGAGCCUUGUUGAGCUUUCACCAUGGAGGGCGCCCAGGUGUAUGGGUUUGGGGGCUGCUUUCCUCCAACCACUCAGCCCUCUCAUCUCUCACCCUUGCUUCAGGGCCCAAGAGCUGAGUCUCCCUAAUGCUAGGAGGCAGCAGCCUCCUUAUCUUCCUCCUCCUCUUCCUGAUGCCAGAGCUGCACCUGCAGAGACUCAGCCAGCCAGCCAGCCAGGGAGGGGUUUGGCUCAGCUCGUGGGUCUAAAUAUAGGCUUUAAUCUGAGUUUCAUAAUUACUUCUGAGCUGGGCUGAAGGGAGGUAGGGAUGGGAUGCCCGGAAGCAUCUAGGAGCUCAGCUGUAAGGCGCUUGGUGUGCACCUGGGGAGUCCUAAGUCCUUUUCUUCUCACACCUGUGUGGCCAGCUGCUCCCCUUGGCCUACCUUGCAGGAGGAUGUUCUUUGCAGAGGAGGCUCCUCCAAGGCCUGUUUUGUGAAAAUGUGCCUCCCAGAUAGUGGCUUUUAUUUUUCAGACAAAAGAAGAAAAAGAAAUAUUGGGGAUCCCCCCCCCCUUUUUAUCUAAUAUUAAACUUUCCAUCCAUGCUCUUGGUUUAGAUAUCCAGGAGUUUUAUGAAGUGACCAUUUCAGACACUCGCCCCACAACUUCACGGAGGUCUCGGCCUAAGGUAGGUGCUCUUUUAUCAGUGAUUUCCUUCCUCUUCCUAUAGCUGUUUGCUUUCUUAGUACUCCUGAGCCCAACUCCUCCAACAUUGGGUUCUGCCUCAGUGGAAUUACAGAAUUUGCUGCCACUGGAGGCCGUGAUGGCCACCAAACUGAAUGUCUUCAAAAGAGGAUUAGAUAAGUUCAUGGAGGAGGAUAGGGCUAUUGUUUGUUGCUUUUGUUUUAGCUACUUAUUUGUAUUUUUAUCUUGUGAGGAGCCCUGAUAUCUUUUGAUGAAGGGCAGUUGUUAAUAAUAAUGAUAAUAAUAAUAAUAAUAAUAAUAAUAAUGGCUACCAGCCACAAUAGUUAUGCUUUGCCUCCACAGUCCAAGGCAGCAGUGCUUUUGUAUGCCAGCUGCUGGAAAUCGCAGGAGGGGAGGAGGCUCUUGUCCUUGGAUCCUGUUAGUGGGUUUCUCACAGGCAUCUGGCUGGCCACUGUGAGAACAGGAUGCUGGACUAGAUGGGCCUGCUUUGGCCUGAUCCAGCAGGGCUUUUCUAAUGUUCUUAUUGUGCACCAAUGGGGGAAAAAAUCCAAUGUAAAUUUGAAGUGAUUCUGUGGUCCCUGAGUGGAUUGUUAGCUAGCUAGUUAACAUCAUCUUAUUUAUUUAAUUUAGAAAUUUCUUUACAUUUACAUCUCUCUUAUUUCUUUUGACAUGAAACCGAAGGCAACAUACAUGUGGUUCCUAGGCAGUCACCAAUCCAAGUACUGUUCUGACCUAGACUUGCUUAACUUCAGCAAGGUGAUGGCUUCAUGUGCCUUUAGACCAGACCUUGGGGCCCUCCUGGGGCCAUCAAAGCAGUAUCUUUGUACACCUGAAGUCCCAAAAGCCCUUUUCAUUUCAAGCCCUUUUCUGAAGGUUUCUCUCCCUUGAGGACAUGAAUACUGGAAAAUGGGUGCCAGGGAGAGGCAGAGCACAGCUAAAUGUUUUUUGGGAAGAGCUGUGGCUCUGUGGUGUAACCCAGCUCUUGCACGAGUGGGGAUCCCAAAUCCAGUCUUCCGUAUCACCAUUGGGAAUGGAUCUGGGCUAGUGUGGUUAAGAUCCUGGUGCCGGUCCAACAAUAUAAGGCAGCUUUACAUAUGAUUUAAGCAAGCGACAUGGCAACAGGAAGUUGAAGAUUAAACUGUCCAGACUCCUUGAUGUUGUAUGCAGAGCAGUACAGACUGUUUGGAUCAGAUGGGUUGGAGGGAGCACUCUAAGGGACUGUUGGGGGAUGUUCUUUCUAAUUGAGUGAACUUCUGGUUAAUUAAUCUCACUGCUUCUCUUCUGGGAAAAUGGAAGAAGGGAAAUAGACACGGAGGAGAAGCGGAGAAAAGAACUGUGGGCUCUCUUUCUUUCUUUCUCUUUCUUUCUUUCUCUCUCUCUCUCUCUCUCACUCACACACACACACAUAUGGUGGAUCUGCUUCUAUGAAUCUGGCCAAUUAGAGGCCACAGGUGCUUUCCUGUGCCCUGAAACGAUGGAGACAUGGAUUCAUUGACUUUGAGCUUCAGUACCGACGCGGGUGGCGCUGUGGGUUAAACCACAGAGCCUAGGACUUGCUGAUCAGAAGGUUGGUGGUUCGAAUACCCGCGACGGGGUGAGCUCCCGUUGCUCGGUCCCUGCUCCUGCCAACCUAGCAGUUCGAAAGCACGUCAAAGUGCAAGUAGAUAAGUAGGUACCACUCCGGUGGGAAGGUAAACGCCAUUUCCGUGUGCUGCUCUGGUUCACCAGAAGCGGCUUAGUCAUGCUGGCCACAUGACCCAGAAGCUGUACGCCGGCUCCUUCGGCCAAUAAAGCGAGAUGGGCGCCGCAACCCCAGAGUCGGCCACGACUGGACCUAAUGGUCAGGGGUCCCUUUACCUUUACCUACUUUGUCAGUGGCAUGUUCCUCACUUAGUUUGUCCUGGACUUCACAGCCUGUAGUAACCUCCACAACCCUCUCAUCUGUGUCUUUACCCAAAAGAGUACUCAUUAAUGGUUCCUCAUCAUCCUGGAAAAAGUGACAAGUGGGGUGCUGUAGGGUUUUGUCCUGGGCCUGUUGUUGUUCAGUGCUUUUAUAAAUGACUUGGAUGAAGGAAUUGAGGGGAUGCUCAUCAGAUUUGUAGGUGACACCAAACUGGGAGGGGUAGCUAGUGCCGCAGAAGACAGAAUCAGAAUUCAAAAUGACCUCAACAGAUUGGAGAACUGGGCGGUAGCUAACAAAAUGAAUUUCAGUAGGGACAAAUGUAAGAUUCUGCACUUAGGCAGGAGGAACAGAUGCACAAAUAUAGGAUGGGGGACACCUGGCUUACUAGCAGUACAUGUGAAAAGGAUCUAGGGGUCUUGGAGGACCACAGGCUUAACAUGAGUCCACAUGUGUGAUUCAGCAGCAAAAAAAGAGCUAAUGCUGUUUUAGGCUGCAUCAGGAGAAGUAUAGUGUCCAGAUCAAGGGAAGUAAUAGUACCACUCUAUUCUGACUUAGUCAGACCACACUUGGAAUACUGUGUCCAGUUCUGGGCAUCACAAUUUAAGAAGGAUGUUGACUAGUUGGAAUGUAUGCAGAGGAGGGCAACCAAGAUGAUCAAGGGUAUGGAAAUUAAACCUUAUAAGGAGCACUUGUAGGAGCUGGGUAUGUUUAGACUGGAAAAGAGGAGAGUGAGAGUAUAUAUGAUAGCCAUCUUCAAUUAUCUGAAGGGCUGUCACAUAGAGGAGGGAGCAAGCUUGUUUUCUCCUGCUCUGGAGGGUAGGACUCAAACCAAUGGCUUCAAGUUGCAAGAAAGGAGAUUCCAACUAAACAUUUGGAAAAACUUUCUGACAGUAAGAGCUGUUCAGCAGUGGAACAGACUCCCACGAGGGGUGGUGGACUCUCCUUCCUUGGAGGUUUUUAAACAGAGAUUGGAUGGCCAUCUGUCAUGGAUGCUUUAGCUGAGAUUGCAGGCAGCUGGACUAGAUGGCCCAUGGGUCCCUUCCAGUGGCAUAGCGUGGGGGGUGCAGGGGGGGCCGGCCGCACUGGGUGCAACAUCUGGGGGGGGGCGCGCUCGCACUUGCAGCUCUCUGCCCCUACCUGGCUCACUCACUCUCUCUCACUGCAGUGCUGGCUGUGCGUAUUCGAUCAGAGCCGCUGGGUCGCCGCCCACUGUGGAGGGGGUGGGUGCCAGGUGUGCGGUGCAGAGAGAGAGCGAGGGACUAUCUGGGGGAGGGACAGUGCAGCGGCCACCCAGCGCAGCGCUGAGCGCGGGAGAGAACCACACCAGACCAGCCCAGGCAGCAGCAAGAAGAAGCUGGCAGCGGCGGCAGGUUAGGGGUUAGGGGGCGCAAAUUACCGUACUUGCCUUGCCCCGGGUGCUGACAACCCAUACUAUGCCGCUGGUCCCUUCCAACUAUUCUAUGAUUAUCUAUUUCUCUUGCUGCUGCCUGUUACAGCUUCCUGUAGCAGUGAGUUCCACAGGUUAAUUGUGUGUGUGUGUGUGUGUGUGUGUGUGUGCGUGUGCAUGCGUGCGUGCGUGAGAGAGAGAGAGAGAGGGGGGAAUACUUAUUCACCAACACCUCUGUUCUGUUUGUCACACACUGGAGAUGUCUUGCUUGUGGGUUUCUCAUUGGGGCAUCUAGUUGGCCACUAUGAGAACAAGAUGCUGGACUAGGUGGGUCUUUGUCUUGAUUCAGCUGCUGCUGCGGUACUCUUCUUAUGCUCCCUUUCUCUUCUCCCACCUUCACCCCACUAUGGAGCUGAAACCUGCUCCAUCAGAGCCUCUACAGUGACAGGGUUCUAUCCAACAUUAGUUGUUCUCAGAGCGGUCCCAUUGAAAUGAAUGAAUGUGACUAACUUAGGUCCAUUGUUUUCAGUGGGCCUAUUCUGAGCAUAACUUCAUUGUUUCGAGCUCAGGUUUCUUUUCCCUCCAGCACCAAAAUAGUCAAAUGGAGGUUGACAGGGCAGGGGUGGAUAUAGAAGCAAUUUCUGAGGAACCAGGACAGAGUGGCAGGAUAAGGAUGUGAAACAGGAACAAGUAGAAUCUAUGAGGUGAGGUUCACUCCUGGAGACCCCACUUUCUGCAGUGACCGAGAGUCUCUGCAUGACCAAGGCUGAUGUACUAACUACACUUUUUCCUAGAUGUGUCAGAUCUGGCCAUGUCUGUAUUAAAACUCAUUUGAAUUACUACCAUGGGCUUUGCAUAUGGUUGCCUUUGAAGAAUGUCCAGAAACUUACAGCUGGUUCAGAAUGUUGCAGUGGAGUGGCUGCUGAAUGGGGUUAGUUAUAACAGUCUGGAAGCAGCCCUCUAAAACUCUCUAUAUGGCCCUUUGUCUGUCCCCAGACAAUGCCCCUUAUGGGUCAUUUUCCAUGUGUUUUUGCAUGGUUGGAGUGUGUCCUUCGAAGUGCAAUUCUUUUAUUUUUUUAUUCAACACGUUUAAAUUCCAUAUGUCCUCAAAGGAGCUGAAGGUGGCAUACAUUGUUCACUUACUCCCUGUUUUAUCUUCACAACAACCCUGCAAUGUAGGUUAGGUUGAGAGACUAUGACUGGCCCAAGGCCAUGCAAUGAGUUUCAAGGCUAUGUAGGGAUUUGAACUCUAGUCUCCCAGGUUCUAAUCCAAUACCUCUAACCACUGCACCAUACUGGCUCUCUUGAUUAACUGCAUGGCUUUGGGAAGAAUAAUAGGGACCUGCUUUUAUAAGGAUUUCUGAUGCAUUACAUGUUAAAGCAAUGUUUGAACACUCAUAAAUCUAUGUAUAAAUGCUGAGAAUGAUUAUUUAUUGAUGUUACAAGCAUGGUCCGUGCUAAGAAGAUGGGGAAGCAUAUAUAGGGACUGAGUAAAGGAGAAUGAGCAGUCCCAGUGGGGGAAGGGCAGAGCAUGGCUGGGGGGGCAUGAAAGUGUGCUUUUCUGCACAGAUGCAGUUGCUCAAAGAGGGGCAGAUCCUGGAAGGCCUGGAAUUUAGAUCUGCCUUCUCUCUGUUUCUCACCAAUGACCCUCCUGUUCAAGGGUGGGUUAAGAAAGGGACAGAAGAUAAGGCUAGCCUGUUUCGUCAUGGGUUUUAUACAAAUCUAUAGGGCAGCCACACUUUGAAUCCUGGGUACAGUUCUGCUUGUCUCAUCUCAAAAUGGCUAGCAUAGAGCAGGGAAAGGUGCAGAGAAGCAGGACAAACACCAGAACUAGAGUUGCCCUUGGCACAGUGCUGAUGAGCUAAGCAGAUCUUGGCUCAGCUCUGCCACGGCCACCACAUGCUUUCUCUGCUGCUGCUGCUGCUGCUUCUGCUGCUGCUGCUUUGGUGGUGGCUGCGUUGGCACCACUCACUGCCCCUCCACUGGGCUUCUGGAUUCACUUCAUUGAUGGAUGGGCACCACCACUUUUGAGUGGGAGCUAAACUCUGCUCCCAGCCAUGGUGACCACUUGCCAUCUUACAAUAUCCAAAAUGCAAUCCCUUGCCCCAUACAUCUGUUAAAUCUACAGAUUUAAUAUAUUUAUAAUCCUGCUUGAACUAUAGACAUAUGAAAUUAGUAAAUUUUAUAGAUCUGUGGGCCAGGGCAUUACAUAAGUUCAUUAAUAAUACUUUUGAGUGACAUAAAAAUGGAGGAAAGCUAGCACAGAUGGGUCUCAAGUUUGGCUCCUGUUCCAAAGUGGGACCGUUUCCUGUUGCUGAAAAGCCUCUGAGGUCUGUUUAGCAGUGAAUGGCAGCAGAACCUGGUCAGGCAAGUGAGGGGCUCUGUUGAGACUCUGGGCCCCUUGUCAAAUGGUUGACAGCUGGCGCCAGACCUGCUGAAAAGGUCAACUGAAAUGAUCAGCAGGUUGGAGUGUUUGGGGUUUUGUGCAGAGCUCAAGUGUUUUGUGCAGAGCAAUCUUAUAUGCUGGUUCCACUGGAAGGGGGUAAAAGAUCCAUUCUCUAUACCUACAGCAUAACCCCUCAGUAAUCACCUCUUGGCUGCGAAAAACUAGCAGGGAGGGGGACAGUUGGCUGGGCCAAGGAGAUGUCGGCAUAAGAGGGAGAUGACUGAAAUUAAUGCAAUUAUUAAUGGUAUGGGUAGGUGUCCCCCUGCAGUAAUACUGUAGCUCAGGCACGUCCUGCUUCCAAGAGACUGUGAUCUAUAAAAAAAACUGGCAGUGACCCACUGUAUUGACCAGAGUUGUUAAGCUUUUUUGGGGGGGCGCGAUCAGGGCCCCGCAAUUGACCAUUAGAUCAUGAUCGACCAGUUGAACAUCCCUGCCCUAGCUUAUUCUCUGCAAUUGAUUGACAGUAGUGUGGAAUUGAACUCUCUGCCAUGGAGUGGUGGUCAGUAGCUUAAGGGUAAGACAGAUUUAUGGAGAUGGAGAGAUCCACCACUGGCUUUUGGAAGGGGCUUCAGCUUGGUGACAGAAUACAUUAUUUGCUCACAGAAGGCCUCAAAUUCAGUUUCCUCUACCAUCACUUUAAAAAGACUUUGGAAGUGUGCUAAAUGAGAUGCCUGAUGGCAUGAGAUAGCUUUAUAUGGAACUUCCAUGGCCAAGGGCAGUCUAGCACUGAACACCAGUUGCUUUUAGAGCCACAGCAGGUAUAAGGACCCUGUUGCGCUUGUGUUCUGCUUGAGGGCUUCCCAUUAGGGAACCUGUUGGAAGCUCGAGGCUGGCCCGGGUAGACCUUUUUACCUGAUCCAACAAAGCUCUUCUUAUGUUCUCUCUGUUAGUUUCUGAGGAUGACGUGGUUUUUGUGGGCCAUGAUUUUUAUUUGUCUCUGCACCCCCUUGUCCUGCUUUGUCAAUUUCCUCUCAGCGCUCAUAAUCUCAUAAGCCCUCUCUCAUCUCCUUCCCCAACUGAACCUCGCUCCAGAAGAGAGAUUAUUCAGCCCCCCCCUCCCCACAACUUCAUAAUUUUAGUUGCUGGUGUAAAUGACUGUGAGAGUGACUUCACAGAGUUUGUUUAUCCUGUCUGCUGAGACGGAGAGAGGAUAAGAGGAAGGAGCAGCAGCCGCCAGAUUCAAUGUGACAGGAAGGAAGUCCUUUUUCUAGGAACAGAUUCUCUCCCUCCCAAGAGCCGAAGCAGUUUAGUGUGGGCUAAAGCUGGCUGGAGGGCAAGGUGCCAGAAAAUUCUUGGAGGGUUUCAGAGGGUUCCUCAGUGUGCUGGGGCAGUCUACCUUUCCAUAUGUAGCAAGGGAAUGCUGCAGACUUCAAGCUCUGUUUAUGAAGUCCUAGGGCAGCCUUUGCUAACCUGGCAUCCUGCAGACUGUCUGGUCUUAGGAGCCUGAAUAAUAAUAAUAUCACUGCUAUUAUUUAGUUAGAUGAUGAUGAUGAUGAAUUUCAGUGCCAGACUGUCUGAUUUGGUGAGCUGGAUCAUUAUUGCAUUUAUUUGUCAUUUACUACUAAACUGUCUCAAAGCUACUUACAGUUAUAAAAACCUGCAUGAUACAAAACUUAAAGUACAUCACUAAGAUAAAAUACCAUUAAUUGGUGGAACGUGCUCAUCUUGUUGUAACAAAGAAAGUGAUAAAUCCUACCCCACCCUGCUGAAAGAUGAACACAAAUACAGGCAUGGGGAUCAUCAUACCCUGUGACCUCCACAUUGAGCCAAAUGCAUGGGGAAACAGGAAUGUCUUUGACUGGUGCUCAAUGGCUGAUAUUGAUGGAAUUAGGUGCGUCCAACGCUCUGGGGAGAGCACUCCACAAUCAGGGAGCCACCACUGAGAAUGCCUUCUCUCAUGCUGCCAACUUCUGUGCCUCUCUUGGAGGGGGAGGGGCAAGAAGAAGGGCCUCUGGUGAUGAGGUAGGUUCAUGUGAGGAAAGGUGGUCCCUAAGGGGAUUGGGGCCCUGAACCAUGUUAGGCUUUAUAAUAUUAACAGUAGUUCAGGCAAUCCAGAAGGGUUCAUUCUGUGUUUAGCUCCAGAAUGAGGAACCUUUGGCUUUCCAGAAGCUGUUGGAGUCCCCACUCCCAUCACCCCCAGCCAAUGGCCUGGGAUGAUGGGAGUUGUAUUUCAGCAACAUCUGGAGGGUCAAAGGUUCCCAUCCCUGGUAUAUAUGAAGGCCAGCCAAACACCUGUUAUGGAAGAAUGCUAAUAAAAGUAUCCUGGCUGUAAUGGGGAAGGGAGGCAUCUUGGUGUCCCUCCUCCUAUGAAUUAAGAUGGGGUACAACUCACUGCUUGUGCAGGGGAACCUCUUGGGUUAGAUCUCUUGCUCCGCCUGCCUUAGAGAAAUUUAAAAACCCUUCCUAGAAUGCGAGACAUAAUGCCUAGCAGCUGAAGAGUCUCUCAAGCUUGCCUCCUCAAAAGCACAGCCAGAAUGUCUUGUCUCCCAAGACAGCUUGCAGGGCCAAAGCAAGUGCUCCUCAAAUUUCGGCCCCCUCAUCUGCUGCUCAUGGUGUCUCUAAUCUGGCUGGCCUUGUACUUGCUUUGUCUUGCAGUAAGUGGGAAGGGCUGAAGUCAAAUCAGUGACUGUUUUAGGGUUCCUGUUGGAAGUGUUCACCUGAAAAGAUAAAUUUUAAUAACAUGUGGGACAUUUGGGAAGGGCCUGAAAGCCACUGUGGGGUGGUGGGCCACCUAUAAGAACCGAAAAGAAGAGUAUAGGCUGCCAAAUAGGACUCAGGGCCUCAAAUAGCUGAAAGGACUCCUCUUCUUUUCCCACAGAUCCUCUCAGGUGUUAAGAUCAGCAGAGAAUGAUCAACUCUUGGUAGUUCCUCUGGCAUCAGAGCUUUGGGGUGGUGGUUCUCUGGGACAACCCCUAAGUUAGGAUCAUGGGAAGCUGUAGCUUAUUCUGAGCUGGGCCGUAAAUCUGUCUAGCCCAGUAUUGUCUAUACUGUCUGGCAGCGGUUCUUCAGGCAGGGUUUUUCCCCAGCCCCCCUUGAGAUGCCAUUGCGGAUUGAACCUAGGACCUUCUGCAUGCAAAGCAGAUGCUCCACCACUGAGGGACAAUCAGUCCCUAAGUUGUGGAAUUCCUUCCCUACAGAGGUGCACCUGCAACCUUCACACCAGGUUUCUCCUCAUAUGGUGAAAACGCACCUCUUUAUCCUGACCAUUGCGACCCGAGAAUGAUAUAUUUAGGACCUACCUUGUGACUGUAAUUUGGGAAGGACCAUAGUGGUAGAGCGUUUGUUUGGCAUGCAGAAUGUCUUAGGUUCAAUCCCUGACUGCAACUCCAAGUAGGGCUAGGAGAGACCCAGAGACUGAAACCCUUAGAGCUACUGCCAGUCAGUGUAGACAGUACUGAGAUGGAUCAAAUGGUCUGACUCAGUAUGAAGCAGCUUCCUUUCUUCCUGUUUUAAACUACUUUUCGUAUUGUAUUUCAAGAUAGCUGAAACCCACACUGAGACCUUAUGGUGAAGGGUGAGUAAGAAAUCAAAUAUAUUAUUAUUAUUAUUAUUAUUAUUAUUAUUAUUAUUUAUUAAUUAUUAUUCUAUGUACACACAUAGGCACACAUAUAAAAGCACACACACACAACAUUUCCCAUUUUCUGUCUGUCUGUCUGUCUCAUGCAUCUAUACCUAUGUAUAUCUACUGGCACAUACUCCCUGAUAUUCUCUCUCUCUCCAUUUCCAGCAGAUCUUCUGUUUUCUGCCUCCCCCUCACUUCUGUGAUCAAGGCAUUUUAGCUGCAGUUUUUAAAACUCUCCUCCCUCCCACCCCAACAUCCGUUUGACCAUAUAUUUCUAUCUCUCUUUUCAUGGGCAUAUAUUUUCCUGGCAGUUGGAUCUGAUCUUUUCUUUUUAGCCCUCCUGUCUUCAACUCCAAAUUUAACCUAUUGCAGUCUGUUUUGGGGUUGUUUUUCUUCAGGGGUUUGAGGGAGAGAAUGUUAAUGAAUUCCUGGAGAUCCUGUGUGUGUAAAGGUCAGAUUUGUGGGGGUGGCAUUAUUUUUCUUUUUUUACCCCCUCUCUUGGCUCCCAGGCAGUCCCCCACCAUUUUAUAUGAGAUAUUUCCUGUUAGGUGUAAAAUUAAAUUGGUCUCAAGUGUGUGUGUGUGUGUGUGUGUGUGUGAGUGAGACUGUGUGUGUGUCACACACACUCACAUAUACAUAUACUUGUGUUUAUCUUCUCCCUCCCAACCAUUAUACAAAGGAAGAAAAAUCUUCCCAAAUUAGAUGAGGAUCAAUACCCUGCCCUGAAAUAUCACACUCAACGCUUGUGCAUAAGCACUGGGUUCCCAGGGUCUCCCGACGCCUUUUGGAUCCCACUUUGUCACCACCACUUUCUGUCAGUUACAUGCAUGACCCAUACUGGGUGGUCUCAUAUGACAAAAAUGUACAUCUGCAGUCUCACACACACACAUACAAACACACACACCCCACCAAAGUUCCUGAUCUCUCCCUUCCUGAUCCUUUCUGGACUUUGGUGCUGGGAAGAGGCUGUCUGUGCCUUUCACUUUCACCCACAAUUGAAAUUCAAUCUCCCUCCCGCCAGCCUCUCAUUCUACUACCUUCAGUCUCUCUGGCGCUGGGAGAGUUAACUCCCGGUGACGCUGCUGCCUCCACACACCGCCCACCUCCCUUGCUGGGCUGGAUCCUUUCUGGCACUCAAAAGGUUAACCUCCUCUCCCUCCCCCCUUUUUCUUUGUGCCCCCCUCUCUCACUGCUCCAUAUUCCAGGUCCCUCUCCCCUCCCUCUGAUGGGGAGCAGCAAGAGGGCUCUUCCUCUCUCCAAUUCAGCCCCUACAUCUUAGCGGGACCCCCCCCCUGCUCCUGGCCUUCCCCCCAUUUCCCCCUUCUUCCCCCCUUCUCUCUAUCUCUCUUCCUCCCCUCUUUUCCCACCCCUCCACCUUCUUUUCCACCUCUGCACCUCUUUCCAGCUGCCCAUCUUGAGCGAAGGGAGCAAAGGACUCUGUUUCUCUGAGAACAGGCAGAGCCUCCUUCCUUUUUCCACCCUCCCCUUCCUUCCUUACAUUCUGUCACUUCCCCCCCCUCACUGUAAGCUCUCUCUCCCCCCCCCUUCCUUUUGGAUCUCUCGCCUCUCCUUUCACACACGCUGCCUUUCAUCUCUCGCAUACUCCCAACUGGCAGCCCCCCACCCUAACACACACACACACACACCACCCAGAUGCCAGCAUUGGCACCCCUAGGAUACACCAAAGCGUAGCUCAGGGGCGGGUGGGACGUAACACCCCUGGUACCCCUCAUCAGUCAGGGUGAGCUACCCAAGAACCAUAGUUGAGGGGGGGGCAAGCGGUAACCCUGAGCCCCGGAAUAUCUGAUGUUCUACAGACCUUUCCCAGCUAGGUGCUUGAGUCAAGAAAGGGAUGGACUGCUUGUGCAUAGUCACUACCAAGGUAAGAUUUGCCUCUGGAGGGGGUAUAUUUGUGCCAUCUUUUGUGCUUCUUGUUAACUGUGGGGUAGUUUGCUCACCUCUGCAAAGGGUGGGAAGGGGAGGGGGGGUAAGAGAGCUCUAGAAAGCCAUGUGUAUUUGUCUGUGUGUCAAGCGACGGAGCAGGGGCAGUUGCUGAUGGGUGGCAUGGAACAGCUUGGCAAUGCUACUGGGUGCCAAGGUGGUCGCUGGUGAUAGGGGUGGUUAUGAUGGUUGUGGUAAGCAAUGGAAGAGACUCCUCCAUUGCUUGAAGUGGUGGGAGGAGGUCUCCAGAAGCCUUCUGUCUCUCCCAUGAGCAGUUUCCAUGGAGCCGAUGGCUGCGUGGGAUAAGGCUCUAUAGGGUGAUGUGGGGUAGUGGUGGUGAGAUUGGGGAGGUGGAAUCGUCCCUAUAAAGAGGCAGGAGGGAGAGAAAUGGGGUGUUGCAGCGGCAAAAGGUGGCAUCUUUACUGCUGGAAUGUGAGGAUGCUGGCCCUGGUGCUGAAUCUUUGGUGCUCUCCGUGGUGCUGAAAGUGGAUGCCACAAGGCUUGUGUCUUAAAGAGCUUGCAGCUAAAGGAACGUGCCCAUGAUGGUGACGGUGGCGGAGCACUGGGAACACAACACACUACUAGGCUGACAUUGGGUGCAGGUGUGUGCAUGUUUGUGCAUGCACACACACACACACACAUUGUACAGGUCCAGAGGUUGCUGGGAGGUUUGUGUGUGCGGAGGGGGUGGAAUGGACCCGUUCCCAAUUCCACUUUGAAAUGUCUUAGGGCUGGAAUGGUUCUAAGAUUAGGGUUAGUGGGGAAGUACAGGUCAAGGGUUGAGGUCCUUCUCUGUUUUAGCUGUCUUGUUAAUGGGGGCUCUAGGGCUUUGCCAUAAAAGUGUGUGUGUGUGUGUGUGUGUGUGUGUGUGUGUGUGUGUGUAAGAGAGAGAGAGAUGCUUUUCCUAUGCAGUUUCAUUUGGUGUGGGGGGGGGAGGUUGGGGUCCUUCCCCAAAACAACUCAUAGCACUGCGUUAUGUAUCUGUGUGCCUGGAAAGGUUGGGUGGUGGUUGUUUUAAUAACUAGGAGACUUUCAAUUGUUGAAAUGGUGUGUGUGUGUGUGUGUGUGUGUGUGUGUGUGUCGGGGUGCUGGGAAUUAUAGAUUUGGGCUACUGGUCUUGGGAAAACUUGUCAAUAGCUACAGUAUUGAGAAUUGAGGAGUAGGUGCUUCUCUGUCCAGUCUGAGAGCCACUCGAGUCCUAUAUAAGGUAGCAAGGGGACCCAUCCAUUUCCUUAGUGCUCUCCAUGGACCUUGGUGCUCAGCAAUUUCUGGCCUUGCUUUCCUAGUCCCUCUACCUCCCUUCCCUGACUUCUUUUCCUGGUGCUGUGGGUGGGUGGGUAGUGGUGGUGGUCAUUGAGAUUUCCAGGCCUCAUUCAGGGCCUGGUUCUGAGUGGGUAUUGGGAACUGAACUCUCCCUUUCUCCACUGGACUAGGAUUGAGAGCUGCCCCUGCUCUUGGCUGUUGGAAUAAAAGGGUUUCCCACAGGUGUGUGAUGGAGGUUGCCAGUGGGGUGGGGGCAAGAGAGGAAGGCCUGCAUGUGCCAAAAUGGGCAGCAGGAGGGAGAGCAGUGUUGGGGAGUGAGGGAAGGAUAAAAGUCUGACAUCUUCUGAUGCUCAUCCGAAAGUAUUUGUCUCUUAGCAAACUCAUGUUACUUCAGAGAACAGCAGAUGGAGGAAGCAUAAGAAUGCACCACCUAAGAGGGAGGGUGGGGGGAAACUGUGGAAUGCAGUGUCUUGACAAAGCAAGAUCAAGAAACCUUUCUUAACAAAAAAAGAAAAAAAGAAAAGCAUUCCGCAUUGGGUUUUCUGCCCCUCCAUGGAAACGCAGAGCAAUCCAAGAUCCCAUCAGGCCUUUGGAGAAUGGAAUGAUUCAGUCCUGAUUAGUCAGGGCGGGGUGAACAUUUAAUUAUAAAAUAAGGCAUUGAGGUGGGUGGGUGGGGGGAGAGUGAAUGAGUCUGUGGGGUGGGGGUGGCCAGGCUCCAGGGGAGCACAGUGAACAGGUGUUGCUUUUGGCUGAGAUGGCUUAAAGUGUAGCUGGCUUAUUGGGGUUUUUUUUGAAAAAAGAGUGGGGUGUUGAGAGCGCAUCACCCGGGGUGUAUAUAAGUGUGAGUGGGGGGAGGGGGAGAGAGACAGAAAUAGCAUCAAAAGGAGCCAUUUCGUUCCACCCGUCACACACACACACAAUGCUUGCGCUAAAUACCACACUCCAACUGUACAUGAAUGCUGAUUUUGGGGUGUGAGUGAGGAGGGUGGGGUGGUAGAAGAGAGAGAGGUUGAGUGGUUCGAGCGUCUGAUAGGAACCAGUAGUAGAAACUGCAGUGGCUGUCCGCUUCCAGGCGGAAGAGGAAUUUGGGGUGGUGGUGGUUGAAAGGUGUAAGUGCAAAUAGGAGGAUGAGAGAAUGUCUGGGGUUCUCCCCCCCCCCACAAAAAACCCCAACAAAUUUUCUUGGUAUUAGGGAAAGUGAUAUGGUGUAUUUGAGAAGUGUCUCUAGGCCGCAUAAUUGAAAAUCAGGGUAGGGGGCUCUGUAUGAUGGGUGCCUAGAUUGAUUUUGCUGCGGAAUUUAAAGCAGGCAGUGGAGUGGGUGGGGAAUGGCGUUAAUAGGGUUGGGUGUGUGAGGAGGGGAGACACAAUCUGGGGCAGCUUUUCCCAAUUGGAUGCCCUCCAGAUGUUGGGACUACAACUCCCAUCAGCCCUAACCAGUACUGACUGGGGUUAAUGGGAGUUGUAGUCCCAAGAUCUGGAGGGUGUUGGGUUGGGGAAAUCAAUUCUACAGAGACUGUAAGUUAUUUCUUAGCCCUGAAUGUGAGGGUAUAUCUACAUUAAUUUGUGCAGACGCACAACACAUCUGUAAGUGUGUCUGAACACUGUGAGGCAUAAGAAUAGAGUGCAUUCUUUUUUCUUUUUCUUUUUUUAAAAAGGUUUUGGGGAGAGGGAGUCUGGUGAUUGUGGAGAGGGAGGGCUCUCAGCAUAGCAGCAGGAGGCCCUGGCCCAUCAUGAGAGGGACAACCCAGUCAGAUGGGUGGGGUAUAAGUAAUAAAAUUAUAAUAAAUUUUAUAAGUCACUGGCAAGAGUGAACAAUAGGUUUUCUGGGGGAGAGGGAAUUGGACUUCCACUGAAAAUAGCCUCCCCCCACUUUCCAUAAAUUGACAAUGGUCCAUUAAUAAUGGAUGUGGGCACUGGGAGUGAUUGGCUGGGGCUUUACUUCCUGAGGCUUCAUCCAUCUCUACUCUUAUCAGAUCUUCUAAGGACUGGCCUUGGAUUCUUUGCUGGUUAAGUGCGUGUGGAGGGGUGAUGAAUGUGUUGAGGAGUGGUGGGAGAGAAGGUCCCCUGAGAUUUAUUAGAUUGGUCUUUGCUUCCUUAUGUUCCAGGCUAAGGGCCUGAUCAACAUUUGAUGGCUUCAUGGUAUUUGUCUGUCAUUUGGGGUCUUCAGGGGCUUGGCUAAGCUUGGAAAUCCACUCUUCAGAGUUGACCAGCAGGUAUUAAAAAUAGAAUCCAGGGAGAAAGUUGGGUUGAGUUAAGCCACCCACAGUGAGCUGUGUGGGAGUGUUCUUGCCUGCCUUCCCAUUCAUAGUUUUGAUCCAUGAAGAGUUCUUAAAGUGUCAAGAGCAGGUGACGUCAGGAGAUUUAAAGGCAGGUAGUUUCUUUUUUCUUUUUUCCUAGGGGAGAAUUUUUUAGAGGCAUUUCCUGUGGACCAUCUGGUCAGAGUUCUAGGACAAAUGUGGGGAAACAUUUUUUGCCCAAGGGCCACAUCUCCUCAUAGGUAACUUUCUGGGGGGCAAAAAGUCUUUUUCAGACAAGCAAAAACACUUGAGAUGGGGACAGGGCAAGGCUGGUGAGGGAUGAGGCCUUGGGUGUGUCCUGAGGAGAGUCCCAAGAGCCACAUACAGAGGCUUAGAGGGCAGCAAUCGGCCCCUGGGCUUGCCGUUCCCCCUCCUAGGAACAUAGGAAGCUACCUUAUACUGAUUCAGAUUAUCUAGAUCAGUAUUGUCCAAAUAGUUCAGUCUAUAUAGCUCUAUGGUCCAUAAAGCACAGUAUUGUCAACAAAGACUGGCAGCAGUGGCUGUCCAGGGUUUCAGACAGAGGACAUUCUGAUUCUUACCUAGUGAUGCCUUUAGGGACUGAACCUGGAUCCUUCUGCAGGUAAAGUAGAUGCUCUGUAUUGGUCCUCUAAGUUGGCAUCAGAGUGUGUUAACAGUGGUGUCUGGAUCCUGCCCAGUUUGUAUGUGUAUUCUAGAGGCGCCAGGAAAGUCCCCCCUCCCACACUUCAUUUUAACAACUGGAGUAGAAAUUUGCCUUGAGGCCUGUGAAGAUGGCAACUUGGAAUCAUCUAGAUGUAGACAAAUGCCUAGAAUCAGGAGUGCAAAGGUGUUUGAUAUCUAUCAGCCAUCUUUUCUAGUCACUUGGUUAGGAAUAUAGGAAACUGUCGUUAUACUAAGUCAGACUAUUAUCACCAAUGGUACACUGACAGUGGCUCUCCAGGUUGCAGACAGGAAUCCUUUCUCACCUGUACCUGGAAAUGCCAUAUGGGAUUGAACCCUGGGGCCUUCUGCAUGAAAAUCAGCUGUUCUACCACUGAGUUUGGGCCCAAUCCAUAUUGGUGGAGACUGAUUGAUCCAAGUAGAGCAUUUGGGGUGGAUGUAAAAGUGUGAACAGGUUCAGCUUUCCUUUCUAGAAGGCCUUGGAUUUAAUGCAGGAGUGGGGAAAUCUGUGUAGUUGCAAGAGUUACAACUCCCAUCAUUCCUGAACAUGCUUGGCUGAGGCUGAUGGGAAUUGAGUCAAGCAGCAUUUGGAAGGGUGCAGAGGUCUCCUAUUCCUCAUCUAAUGUCACAAUAUAGGGGUAUUAAUUUAUUAGGGAGGUGGGUGCAUUAGUACCAAGGUGCUUCAGGUAAAUCACAUGGGGGAUUUGAUUAUACCACUUGUCAAUGACCAGGAUGGAAAGUAUGUUUUUUUAGAUGACUAGGUGUUGGGCACGGAAUCCUUGCUGGGCUAUUCUGAAUGCUUUGGGCAGAGAUUGGACUUGAAAGUAUCUAGCCAUGGCUAUUGUUUGUUUCAAGCUAGGGAAUCAAAAAAAGGCAGAGGGGGAGGACCCUCUACCUCCCCUAGACUUUGGAGGGUAACUUGUAGAUUGGGGUAGGAGGGGAACCUGUGGCCCUUCAUAUAUUGUUGGGCUCCAGUUCCCAUAAGCCUCAGCCAACAACAGCAAUAAUCAGGGAUGAUGGGAGUUGCAGUCCAGCAACAUCUAGAGGGCUGCUGGUUCCCCAUCUAGAUGGGGAUAGACACAUUAAGAGGCUUCUAGGGGUGCUGUGAAGGAUCCUGCUCAAUCUCCAAUGGCAUAUCCAGGUAAGACCGGGGAUAUCCUUUGCCUGAAACCCUGGAGAGCUGCUGCUAGUGCAGAAAAUAUCUACCUGGAUGGGCAAAGAGCAUGAUUUGGAAUAAGGCAGCUUCCUAUGUUCACUUCUUCAGAUAAUUAGCACAGGGCAUGAUCCAUCCGGACAUUUUUCCAUGCAAGGUGCAGUUACAGUUCAUUUUUCUGGGGUCUUUGUGAGACAGCGUCCCAGUGGAUCAUGACUAUUAUGGCCUGAUGGUUUGUUGGUCCUUCUUCGUGGUGUCCAAUAUGAUCUGCUUGCCUCUACUGAGCUCUUUCCAUGUAUGUGCUAAAAUUUCUUGGGGUUGGUGGUGGGAAGAGAUUUAUUUAAAAAGUGGCAGUCUUGCAGAUCAGUCCUCAUCAAGGCAUCCGAAAUGUGACUCCAGAAAGCUGCUAGAUAGCCUAGAAUAGCACUGCCUUUACCUUCACCCUUUUUUCCUGUUCUCUGUCUCUCCAGGCAUGGAUUAUUUGUGAGAGUGUGGUGUUCUUUAGCAGCUGUAAGAAAAUGGGGGUGGGAUAGGGCAUCCGGUUGGUUGGUGACAUUUUGUGUGUGUGUGUUACAUGCCUGUGUGGCUCUUGCCAUUGAUAAUCUGGAUUGGGAAUGAGUCAUUGUGUGUGUGUGUGUGUGUGUGUGUGUGUGUGUGUGACAAGGAGAGAGAAACUCACAGUAGAAGAGAGAUUCCAAAAAAGAGAAAUGCUUCUGAGGAUGGGUGAGUGAACCGGGACUGACCUGUGACCACUGCCCCCCAAAGGUUUAUAAAUGAUUUGGUCCAAGAUUUGCUGAAAGGGGGGCUUUGCUGAAAUUUAGAAAAGGCCCUUGAGCUGGCAGAAGGUGGGUGGGAGGUAUCAUGCAGCCGUAUGUGAGAGGGGGAGGGAAGUACCGUAAAUGAGGCAAUUUGGAAAGGCUCAGUCUCAGUGAGAAUUCAGCCACAGGACCUGUUUUCAAGCAUUUGGUGUUGGAACAAAAGUCCUCCUAAGGGCAUUUAGGGAAGGUUGUGGUUGUGGAUGCAAAACACCCCAGAAUCCACUGGAAACUUUAUACACAUGUGUACACACCCACACAACACACGUGUUGCAUCCCAGCAGGUAGAUCUUGGGUAUCAGUCAGUGAGAUUGGCACAUCUGGUCCAGAGUAGAUGCCUUUCAAACACGUAUGCUAAUAACCACAUAGGCAAUCUGGCACACACAUAUUUUUUUCUUGAUAUCAAGAAAAGCUGGAUGUAUUUAUGAUUUUUAAUUGUAUAUUGUACUGUUUUAUUUUAAUAAUCUUUUAAUUGGCCUUAAAGCUAUUUUGGAAAAGGUGGGAUGUGUAUGUUUUAGAGAAAACAACUUAUGCAGCCCAACUAGACCUUGUAAAAAUCUUCCAUUUUUGCUCAUGCUGUCUAUUUUUUAUCCUUUUCCCCCACCUAAGGAACUCUGGACAGUUUACGUGAAUCAUCUGUCCCCUCCCAUCUCAGCAACCCUGUGAGGUAGAUUAGUUGGAAGAGUUGAGCCCAUCAAUUUCACCCACUGCAUUUCAUUGAUUUGUAGGAAUUUGGACCCAGGUGUCCUCUCCUGCCUGGCCCCCGCAGUCCAACAUACUUUCCACUCCACUGAUGCUUUAAAAAUGUAUACCGUUAGAAAUAGUAUUCAAACUCACUUGCUUUUUUAAAAAGCAUUUGCUGGGAACAUAUAUUUGACAUUUUUUUAACUCUCUUGUCUUCAACUGGUGGGUCAGGACCCACUAGUGGGUUGCAGCCUGAUCCAAGAAAAGGGUCAUCCAAAUGCAUGUUGGAGUUAAAAGUGGGUCCUGGGUCUGAAAAGGUGGAAGAUACUUGUUUUAACUGACUUUUCCUGCUCUCUGUCCUACAUUUGGAGGUGUGAAAGGUGCGAAGGGCUGGUCAGUGACAGUGUCCAUGGUGGUUGUGGUGGAGAGGGUCAAUGUCACUUUCAGCAUCUUGUCUGAAAAUGCCUUGAGCCUGUCUGAAGAUCUGGCAUCCUCAAUGGGGUGGGUGGUCCAGAGCUCAGUGGUGGAGCAUUGGCUUUGCAUGUCAGAAGUCCUUGGUUUAAUGGCCAACAGAUGAAAGGGGCAGGGGCAGGCAAUAAGAAGAGAGACACUCCUCUCCCUGAGACCCUGAAGAAAAACUACUAGCCACCCUCCCUCUAUCCACACCAUACAUUGAAAGCAUGUUCAAAGCAUAUGACUUCCCCAAAGAAUCCUGGGGACUGUAGUUUCGCCCUCACAGAGCUGCAAUUCCCAGCACUUUUAACAAACGAGUGCUCAUGUUUCUUUGGGAGAAGCCAUGUGAUUUUAAUGUGUAUUUAAAGGUAAAGGGACCCCUGACCAUUAGGUCCAGUUGUGGCUGACUCUGGGGUUGCGGCGCUCAUCUCGCUUUAUUGGCCGAGGGAGCCGGCGUACAGCUUCCGGGUCAUGUGGCCAGCAUGACUGAGCCGCUUCUGGCGAACCAGAGCAGCGCACGGAAAUGCCGUUUACCUUCCCGUCGGAGUGAUACCUAUUUAUCUACUUGCACUUUGAGGUACUUUCGAACUGCUAGGUUGGCAGGAGCAGGAACCGAGCAAUGAGAGCUCACCCUGUCGCGGGGAUUUGAACCGCCGACCUUCUGAUCGGCAAGUCCUAGGCUCUGUGGUUUAGACCACAGCGCCACCCGCCUCCCUUGUGCCUUUAAUUUCUUUUAAAUAUAUGGUGUAGAUCUGCAUAGGCAAAACUAGAGUAGAUGGAGGGAUUGCCUGAGUUUUGGGACAAGGCAGCUUCAUAGCUUAGGAAAAACCAAGGGAAUGCUGGCAGCAAUCAAUCCAGUUUUUGCUUAUCUAGUGAGUGUGUUACAUAUACCAUGACCCAUUUAGUUGCUCUUGUAUGGGUGGUGGAUAUAGGAUUAUAGCUGUGAGGUUUGCUCUAAAGGGAAAGAGGGUGACUAAAUCCCAGAUUUUUAUAAGAAUGGAAAGGUCACACAGGAAGCUGCCUUCUACUGAUUCAGACACUUGUUCAGUAUUGUUGACUGGCAGUGGCUCUCCAGGGUUUCAAGCAAGAGGUCUUUCCCAGCCCUACCUGCAGAUGCCAUUGGGGAUUGAUCCUAGGACCCUCCUGCAUUCUACCACUGAGUUUCCUCUGGCUAGGUAGCAAGCUUUAGAGAUGCAGCAAAUGCUUUGGCUAGCUGUUUGCAUAUCUCCUCAGACAAGUUUUGACAAGCCUUCUAAGUUGAGCUCUUCGUCCCAGUCUACAUCUGUACUGGAAAAGUUUUAAAGACGUUUUAAUCAUUUUAUCACUUCUUGUUUGCCAUCCUGGGCUCCUUGAUAUGAAGGCUAUAAAUAAAAAUAAAAAUAAACUUCACUGGUUAGGACUGCAAGCUUUUGGUUUGUCCUGGAGUCUUCUUCAAUGAGCUGUGUUUGGUAUAAGAUAGCGACUGGCCUUUGAACCAAAAGGAGCUGUUUUUGCCAACAGGGUGGUUUGGGGUGGCAAAUCCUUGGGAGGCCAAUGAUUUUAAGAGAUUUCUAUUCCAUAAGUGGAUGUUUGUGAUGUUUAAUUGGUUGAUGGGCUUUUGUUUGUCAAUAAUAAUAAUAAUAAUAAUAAUAAUGCAAAUUUGGCAUUAAUGCCCCCCAAAUAUGAUUGAAAAUAUGCAAACUAAGUGUUCAGGGGUCUUGAAUAGAGUACUUCUGUUGCAGCCAUUAGAGUUUCACCAGACAUUCUGUGUUUGUCUGGAGUGAAGGUGGAUGAGAACAGUGCUGGGUUAGGUGAUAGUGAGGUGGAUGAUGGAAAGGGACUCAGACUGCAGAGGACAUGUUUGCAGUCCUGUUGUGUUCUUGCGUUGUUUUCAAAGGUUUCCAUGCAGGCAGGAAGGCAGGGCCUCUGUAUCCUUUUACAUCCACCAUGAUAGUCGGGGAUCAACAGGUGAGCGUUGCAGUGUUGGGGGAAACACUUUGUCAGCUGGUUUCUACUUACCGUACUAUGCAGCUGCUAUGGGCCCUGAGUUUUUGUACAAAAAGUGGUGGUGGCCUCAAAGAGGACUGGAAGCUUGGGCCGCAUUUGUGUGAACAAAAGCUAAUGGUGUUUUGCAAGGAAGUAUGUGCCUUAUAUCUCUGUGCUACUUACAUGCACUCCACUGACAGGAGUACGUUCUGUGUCUUCUCCUGACAAAUGCUUUUCUGAAGUUAUGGGAAGCGCUCAGGGAAGUGAUGGAAAUAUCUCUGUCUCCCCAGCAGCCCUGGUGUGUGUUGAAGAUGGCCUGCAAUGUGAAGCCAGUUUUUAUUGUGCUGUGCUGUGCAGUGCUGUCCUCCCCCCCAGCCCCCCCCCCAAAUAUACACACAUACCUGAGAUGGAGGGCACAUUAUGAAUGAAUUUCCUCCCUGGGCCUGCAAAAAAUGGUGGCUGCCCCAAGGAGUCAUUGGCAUGGAUGGGAUUGUAACAGUGCAGACCAAGGAUCUGCGAAGCUGUAUUCAUGAACAGAAGCAGCAGACAGAGGGGGUAGCUUUAAGAGAGUCUUCCUCCAUGCAAGGCCCUCUAGAUGUUGCUGGAGUCCAACUUCCAGUGACUACCAUGGCCAAGGACUGCACCAGUUUGGAGAAGGUGGCUUUAAGAUAUUUAAGGGGAUGCCGCCGCUAGUGCUGGAGAUGAGCCAGAUCUACCCAGCUCCUGGGGGAAACUUUCUCCAAAAUAAGAUCAAUUGAAAUGAAUGGGACCCACGCCUGUUUAUCCCAGUGGAGCUCAUAAGAUUGCUGGGAGAGCCCUACUGGAACAGGCCAAUGGCCCAUCUAGUACAGCAUCCUGUUCUCACAGUUGCCAUCUGGAAAUCCUCAAGUGGGAUCCAAGCAGAAGAGCACUUGCCCCUCCUGUGGCUUCCAGCAACUAGUAUUCAGAAACAUUGCUGCCUCUGACUGGAGGCAGAGCAUGGCCAUCCUGGCUACUAGCCACUGAUAGCCCUUCCCAAUCCUGUAUCCAUGUUGGUGACCUUGGAUGCCUCUGGAGUGAGUUCCAUAGUUUAGCUUGCUCAGGAGACUGUCCACAUGAAUUCUGCUUCAGAUCUGUCUGCCACCCUGAGUGGCCCCCAAUCCUCCUCCAAGGAACCUCCAGUUCCUGCCCACACCAGCCCUUUAUAUUAUGAAGUCUCUCAAGGAGGUUUCAUAUGUGAAGAGCUGUUAUGGCUUACAGAACAAGGCAGGGGUCAAUACAGGCCACUCUCUCUCACCCAAACCCCCGGUGCUGCCAGCAGAGGUUGGGGUGGAUGGUGGUGGGAUGUCCCCGCAUCACACCUGUUUGCUGUUUUAAGGCAGAGGUGGUGAUACCCACAGGCAUGAAGAUGUGUGUUUUUGAAACCACCCAAAUUUUGGUUCGGGGCGGUAGAGGGUUGUGCAACUGUUUUUUGACAAUUGCGAGGUAACUAAAACACCUCAGGCCAAGGGGUGAGAUGGACGAAAGCUUCCUAAGGCAAUGCUCAACCCACUCCUGAUUUCGAAAGCAGUCUGCACCACACAGGUUCCCUCUAGAAGUUUUGGACUACAGCUCCCAUCAUCCACUAGCCAGCUGAGGGAUGAUGGGAGCUGUAGUUCGAAACAUCUGGAAGGUGCCACAUUGGGGGAGGCUGCUCUAUCCAGUUUCUUCCUCCCUCCCCCACUUUUAUCUCUCUUCUCAAUCCUUGGCCGCCUCAUCCCAGCACCCUCCCCCCCUCCUAUCAGCCUCGGCUGCCUCUUGGAUGCCAUGGCAACCAGGGAUAACUGGAUCAUGAAUGCGUAGGGGGGGAUUAUUUCAGGCAACGUACAGCAACACCCCCCUCCAUUUUCCUGUGUAGGCCCUUCAUGCCCAGUUCCAUCCAGUUCCCUUUCUACCCACCCCAAGGACUCCCAAAGAGAUGGGGGGACACACAUGCUAUUAAUUUGGCAUGGGGGGGAGCAAUAUGGGGAAGAGGUUAAGGGCUUGCUUAACUUCCAGGUCACAGAUAAAUCCUGUUUCCAGUGCCCAAGAUGAAUCCUGGAAGCAGGUGGACUCAGCCCAUAUAUUAUUAUUAUUAUUAUUAUUAUUAUUAUUAUUAUUAUUACUUAUCCUUCACGUCCCAGGGUGGGUUACAACAAUUUAAAAUUUCUUAGAAUAUACCGUACAUAUUUUUGCAUACAGUUUGGACUAACAUGCACAUUUUUGCAAGUGUUUUUCCUACUACAAUGCAUUUUCACCAACAUUAUGCAUUUUUUAUGCCCUACCAUGUUUUUGUACACAUUUGUUGGAAAACUGCAUGCAAAAUUUGGAGAAGCAAAAAUUUCAAAGAAUAGUAGUGUUUCGGUUUGUGUUUUGGUUUGAGGAGUGGGAAUUAAGUGGUUUCUGAUUCAAAUGUAAGGCAAAAUUAAUUAUUCGUACUAUUAUUGCACUUAAUUUAUUAAUCACCUUCUAAUCCACUGUCUCAAGGUGAUUUACAAAUAAAACAGUAAAUUUAGCAAUUUAUUAAAAAAAUAAUUAAAAACAAUUAAAAAUACAACAGCAAAUACAUUUAAAAAAUGAUUAAAAUCCUAACAAGUGGACAUUCAUAGUAAAGAACCAUUUAUCUAGCUGGAAAGCUUGUUGGAGCAAAACAUGUCUUCAGCUAUUUCCAGAAGUGCAGAUAGUGGUUGCCUGUCACAUCUCGACAGGAAUGCUCUUCCACAGAACAGGGGCAGCCACACUACAAACCCUCCUCCUAACUGAAACUUAUUCAUUCAUUUCUAUCAUUUAUAUACCACCUUUUUCUCCCAUGAGCUCAAGGUGGUGUACAUGGUUCUUCUCCUCAAAUUAUUCUCACAACAACCCUGUGAGGUAGGUUACGCUGAAAGAAGACAGUGACUUGCCUAAGGUCACCCAGGAAGCUUCAUUGCAAGUGGGGAUUUGAACACUACCACAGACUUAACUUGCAGGAGAGACUUUUGUGCAGAUUGAAGUAAUCAACUGGGUGUAUAAGGGGUACCGUGAUCUCUCAGGUAACUUGGUCCUGAACUGCACAGGGAUUUAGUACCAACACCUUGAACUUGUCCUGGUUAGCAGAUUGGCUGUGAGUGCAAAUCAUGCAAGCAGGGUGUUCUAUGCUGGUGAUAGUUUGCUUCCUGAAGCAAUAUAGCCACUGUGUUCUGCACCACCUACACCCUCAAAAUCAACCCCAAGGGUAGCCCCACAUACAGCACACUGCAGUAAUUUAGUCAUGAGGUUACCAAUGCAUGGACAACUGUGCUCAAGCUAUACUGAUCCAGGAACAGCCAAUAACUGGUUGGUAAAGGGCACUCCUAGCCACUGAGGACACCACCUCCUGUCACAGAACUAGAUUUAGCACCCUUUCUCCCCCAUUCCUAGUCCCUGAGCACAUAUAGAGUCCAGAAGCUUAGAUUUUUAUUGCCAUACUGUAUAUAUAUUAGUCCUGUCCUGUCUUCCCACAAAAGUAAGGGUGCCGUGUUAUGUUGCACUAGCAGGGCAGGGGGGAAAGUUAAAGGAGGUGAAUCAGUUGGAAAAGUCUCAACUUCUUAUUAAGAUCUUACAAAUGCUUCUGAGGAGAAGGAGGCAGAGGCAGAGGCAGCAGCAUCUCAAACUGCCUUGAAACUCAGCAACAAAGACACCUGCUUUACAUUUGACAGUAGCACAGCAGGUAAAUUACCUGUUUUGCAUGCAGCAGCUCCCUGAUGAGAGGCUUCCUAGGGGCCUGAUGAGAUCUCUAGGCAGUGCUGGGAAAGACCCCUUGUCUGAAAUUCCAGUGAACUUCUGCCAGUCAAUGUACACAAUACUGAGCUAGAUAGACCAUAUGGCUUGACUGUAUAAGCCUAUGUUGUGGUGCUGCUCCAGGGAAGGCCCUGCUUUCAUUUUUUUUUUAAAUGAUAUUUAUUAAAGUUUCACAAAGAAAGAAUCACAUCAACAUAAAAAGAAAAAUUCAAGAAUAAAAAGAAAAAUACACAAUGCAAAAUACAAAAAGAAAAAAGAAAAACAGUUAAAAACAAUUCCCUCUUUUCAUCACUACUUUUACAUUUACUUGUUUCCUGGACCUCCUCAUACCUCCCUCUUUUGUAUUCCAAUUCAGUUUGUUAGUCCAGCAAUUCCUUUCCCUCCUUUUUAAUCCCAAUCCUUAAUCUUAAUAUAGUAUAACAUUAAAUUUUUACCUAUUAAAAACCAAUUUUUCCAUUCUUUUAACCUUUUUAAUCCUAAUCCUUAAUCUUGAUAUAUUUAUAACUUUAAAGCCUGUACAGCUAGAAGCCACUUAAUUUCAAUCCAACAUCACUCUAACAUUCAUUAAUUUUGCAAUAUUUCUGUAAAUAAUCUUUGAAUUUCUUCCAAUCUUCUUCCACCGACUCUUCUCCCUGGUCACGGAUUCUGCCAGUCAUUUCCACCAAUUCCAUGUAGUCCAUCAUUUUCAUCUGCCAUUCCUCCAGGAAGGCCCUGCUUUCAAAAGCACUAGAUCAAAUUCUAGAUUGAGGCCUCUCCUGAGGAUACUAAGAACUGCAGGGGUUCCUGUGGGAGAAUAUCAUGUGUGAAUGCAGCAGAUAACUUCAGAGUUGUGUGGGGACUGUCUCCUGAUUCUUCUUGGCUGUGACCCACCCAUCUUAAUGACCCUUGCAGCAGACUGUCCUUUUUUUUUUGCUAUGAUUCCUCUCCAGUCUCCUAGUCAUUGUUACAACAACCCUGUAAAGUUGUGGAUGAGAUGACUGAUGCUGGUCUUGGGGUGGGAGACUGGCUGAAGGGCCAGCUUGUGACGUCAAACAGGGACUUCUGCACCAAAUAAUUAAUACUUAGCAUUUACAGUGCCCACAUUUUUCAUCCCACCUUUCAUAAGGUUCUUCCACUAACCCAGUCACCAUAUUUUAGGCAUUCAGGCUUAAUUUUAGGCAUUCAGGCACUGUGGCGCCUAGGACUUGCUGAUCAGAAGGUCGGUGGUUCGAAUCCCCAUGACGGGGUGAGCUCCCGUUGCUCGGUCCCUGCUCCUGCCAACUUAGCAGUUCAAAAGCACAUCAAAGUGCAAGUAGAUAAAUAGGUACCGCUCCGGCGGGAAGGUAAAUGGCAUUUCCGUGUGCUGCUCUGGUUCACCAGAAGCAGCUUAGUCAUGCUGGCCACAUGACCCAGAAGCUGUACGCCGGCUCCCUCGGCCAGUAAAGUGAGAUGAGCACCACAACCCCAGAGUCGGCCCCGACUGGACCUAAUGGUCAGGGGUCCCUUUACCUUUAUAUUUAAAUUAUGCUGGGACUAGAUAUGUGCUGCUGCUGCUGCUCUGGCAGUACAGCCACUACAUCUAGUGCCUAGCGUGAGGGGCAAGCUCAUAGGUAGAAAAUACAAAAAUGGAGGAAAGACUGGCUAGCCCACACUAUCCCUAGAAACUUCACCAAUGUCCACCAAUCAAGGACUGCUGGUAACAACAUCCACAUGCUGCCUGCAAAUGAAGGGAGCCAGUGAGCUUAUGGCAAUGAGGACUAGCACCCCACCCCACUCCCCAUACACACUUACACUUAGUUUUUUUACACGCUACAGCAGGGGUAGCCACUAUAAUAACCUCCAGAUGUUGUGGACCUCAACUCCCAUCAUCUCCAGACAGUAUGGACAGUGGUCAGAAAUGAGAGGAACUGUAGUUUAAAAUCACCCAGAGGGCUACCUCUUUGCUAGAGCUUCCCAAUGGGACAGCUCCAAACUAAGAAAGCAUGAAGGGGGCCAUUCACCACUCAGCCUUGGAUAGGUGGCUAGACAGGUAGCAGGUGCAGUGCCCACUGUGGCACCAGGAAGGAUAUAGGAGUCUGCUGGAGCAAAUAGGUUGACAGCCCUAUGCAGGAAGCAUGCUGGACACUGUUGCUGUCACAUGGGGUGGACCUCCCUUCUGGCCUGCGCAAGACAGGGCGUGGGGGGGGGGGAAUCUGUACCUGUGUGGUCAGAAGGAAUCUCCAUGGGCAGAACAGUUUUUCACACACAGGACAAAACAAAGAUAAUAGUUUGAGUUCCUCACUUGAAGUUUAAUAAAUUUAUAUAGUAUGACAACACAAAUGGAAAUCAUUAAUUAUGCAGCUGUUGAUUAAGGGAUUAUUAUAUUAACUGAAAUGUAACUGACAUUAAUAAGAUUAUGGAACUCAGAAAUGCGGGGAGCCCCUUUAUCUAAAUUGUAUUAAUUGGAAGUUGAUUGGCAUUUGAAUGAUUGUAUUAAUUGGGAGUUAAUUGAUAUUGUUAUAAUUUGGCUAUUGGGGGAAUAUUGGAAAACUAAUAACAUUUAUUUGGAAAGGAAUCUGUACCUGUGGGAGAGUAGCCUGUGUGGAUCAAGGCAAAACAUAGAGGAACAAGAAAGAGGCAGCUUCUUGAAGGACAUGUAGGCCCUAGAGCUGGAUGUGCAUAUGGUGUUUGUGGAUGCUCUGCCAGCCCUCCUGCCACAGUCUUCCUCCACCUUGCUCCGGUGACGGGGAGACUGCUGUGAUUGUGAGUGCUUCCCUCCUGGAGGUUGUAGUUAAAGAAUGAGGUGAUAUUCACUAAAAAAAAUUAUGAAACUUUAUUUCAAAAGUCUUUUUUAAAAAAUAAAAAAUUUUGUAAACUCAACAGAGUUUAAGAAGAACCACACAUCAUAAAAUUAUGUGUCUGGGUUGGUUUAAUAAAGGAGAAGUCUGUUGAUGGCUACUAGCAAUGAUGGCUAGCUCUGCCUCCAAAGAUAGGGGCAGCAAUUUUCCCAACUACCAGUUGCUGGAAAACCCAGGAGGGGAGGCUCAUGUGCUCAGGUUCUGCUUGUAAGUUUUGCACAGGCAUCUGGUGGGCUACCGUGAGAACAGGAUCCUGGACUAGCUGGGCCAUCAGCCUGAUCCAGCAGGCUCUGUUUACGUUUGCCUAAACAAACAAGAUUUUAGCAAGCAUUAAAAAGCAAGGCAACAAAGGUGCUUGCCUGACACAAAGAAGCAAGCGAGUUGUAUAGCAUAGUUCCUGCCACACUAAAAGUUUGAUGUCUCACAAGCAUGGGAUGAACAUUUUGUGGCACUGGUAAAGGUGCCAGUUCCACAGAUUGCUGUGCGGUCAAGUGGGCACAUAUGGGUUGAAGCAAUACUUCAGGUAAUCUGGUCCCAAACUAUUGAAGGCUUUAUAACACCUCGAAUUUAAGCCCAGCAGCAUACUGGCAACCCUGAGAGACAGUUGCAGCAGUUAGACAUUAUGGCCAGCUUCUCCAAUCUGAUGACUUACUUGUAUUGGACUAGAUUCUCCCCCCCCCCCCCCAAUCAGCCUCCAUCCAGUACAGAAUUAUAGUCCAAAACAUCUGGAGGGCUCCAGUUUGGGGAUGAAAGCUGCAUUGUGGAAUGCGCUUCCCUUCCCCUAGUUUAUCCAAGUGAUAUGCUUUGUGUUUCCUUGAUUGUUUUUGUACAUGGUGAUAUUGAUGUGAUUCAAUAUGAUCCCAUUCUCAAUAUGGUUUGCACCUGCAAAAUGUUGGGGCAGAUAGACGGCUUCAUUUCCAGUUGAUGCAGGUCCCAUAACUGCCUGCUGAAAUCCUAUACCUUUUUAUACCACAAAUGUUCAAGUUUAUUUUUUGUCCAGCCUCUGUGGCAGACAGAAGUGUCCCUCCAGAUAGCAAUAAUGCAUUGGGGAAGCUUCACACAGCAACUAAUGAAGCGGAAUGAUGUGUGGAUGGUCUAGUGGCACUGUGGUCUAAACCACUGAGCCUCUUGGGCUUGCUGAUCGGAAGGUCGGUGGUUCAAAUCUCCACGAUGGGGUGAGCUCCUGUUGCUUGGUCCCAGCUCCUGCCAACCUAGCAGUUCGAAAGCACACCAGUGCAAGUAGAUAAAUAGGUCUACUUGCGGCAGGAAGGUAAACAACAUUUUUGUGCGCUCUGGCACUCAUCACGGUCCUCCAUGCGCCAGUAGUGGUUUAGUCAUGCCGGCCACAUGACCUGGAAAGCUGUCUGUGGACAAACGCCGGCUCCCUUGGCCUGAAAGCGAGAUGAGCACCGCAACCCCAUGGUCGCCUUUGAUUGGACUUAACCAUCCAAGGGUCCUUUACCUUUACCUUUUACCUAGUAUAAAUGCGCCCGCUAAAGCACUAUUACUCUCUGCCUCUUGACCUUAUGCAGGUACCAUCAUUGUACUCUUUUAGACACAUCUGCUGAAUUUUUUUCUGUUUCAGCAGGCAUACAUGAUUUGGUUGUAUCUGAUUUUAAUUUUUCUAAAAUGUUUUAUUGUUUUUAGUUUUUUUAAAACAUUUAAAAAAUAUUUGAAAGAUAUUUUUUGUUUAUUUUUUAUUACAUGUUUUAAUCGCAAAAGUGUUUGCUGCCCUGGGCUCCUUUCGGAGGGGUAUAAGUUUAACAAGUAAAUAAAUGACAUGUUGCAGAAUACACUCACCAAAAGUCAUUGGUCAGGAGGAGGCCUUAGUUACAAAGUUCUUAUAAGUGCUCUGGUUGCCUCACUUCAGAAAGGAUAUUGUAGAGUUGGAAAAAGUUCAGAAAAGGGCAACCAAAAAGAUCCAGUAGAAUGGAGUAACUUCCCUAUGAAGAAAUGUUGCAACAUUUGGGACUUCUCUAAACUAAAAAGGCGAGUAAGAGAUGACAUGAUAGAAGGCUAUAUAAAGGUUCAUGGCAUGAAGAAAGUGUCUAGAGAAAGGUUUUUCCCCUUUCUCAAAACACUAGGACCCAUGAACAGUGUUUGUAACUCCCAUUGUUCUAGGCACAUUUUGCGACAGGGAAUUGCAUUAGAGCCAUUUCUGAGUUCUGGGCGCAGUACUGCACCUAAGAUUAAAACUGCAGAGUGGAAGGAAAGGAGGACCUUUUUCUGCCUCCCCACGUCCAGCUACUCUCUGAAGACUGGGGAAGAGACCCUUUUAACAAUAUUAGGGGGGUGAGCAGGGGAAGGAUUAGAACAUAAUAUUUUAGCUGCUGUUCAUUCAUUUUCAGCUUUGUUUUCUUGUUGUAAAGAAAAAGCGCACCUAGACAUUCUGUUGUUGUUCCCAUAACCUAGGUUCAAGGUGCCAUUUAUCUCCUAACUUUCAUUGCUCAGUUUCUAACACUGCUCAUGGACAUCCACUGAAGCGGAAUGUUGGAAGAUUCAGGUUAGAUAAAAGAAAGUCCUUCUCCAUGCAGUGCAUAGUUAAGUUAUGGAACUCCCUCCCACAGGAGACAGUGGUGGUAGAAACCCAGCCAGGUGGGUCCGUGGCACCAUUCACAUAACAAAAACUACUAUAGAGAUAACAAAAUUUUCAAAAGUCGGGUCUCUGGCUUGGCUUUUGAAAAACUAAGUCCACAGUACUUGCUAACUGACCUAGACCAUGCCCCAGAAUCUCCCAUGAUGCAUGCCAGUUAUGCAACAGAGACUGUGGAAGGGGUUCUGUCAAAGGAGAGCAUUAAAAGCUCACAGAUGUAGAGUGUGCAUGUGUGAGUAGAAAUGUAAAUUUUGUAUUUCAAGAUUGGCUGCUUUUUAAAAAUACAUAAAUCUUUGGAAUUCGGUCCUGUUGAAUGCCUUUCAUUCAGGGUGACAACUUUGACAAUAAAACCAAUCCUUUUGCUCCCCCCCCCCCCCAUCUCUGCACUGACAACCCGCUUGAAAUUACUUCCUUGCAAACUCGCACCACCAUUGAGCUUGUAUCUGUCAGGGAAACUAAAAUGCUGGUUUGGGUGGUUCAUGCCUGCAUGGUAACAAUUGGGAAUGUGUGGCAAUUUUGCACCUUUCAUGGCCCAUCUCAGGGUAGUUAGAACCCGCUGUCUGUUGCAAAAAAUAAAAAUGGAAACUUACUGCAUUUUUAGUUGCUUAGUUUCAGUGCAUUGGCCUUGAACAUUUUUUCACAGUCAUGACUACAGAGUCAUCCAGUUUUUAACAGUUUCACAGCCACGUGCUGUUCUUGGUAAGCUUGUGAGCAGGGCCUGAGAGCCACAACCCUCCCUUUUGUUUUCUCCAGUGUGUGCUAAUCAAAGCUAACCUGCCUCUGAUUAUGGAGGUUCCAUUCCUAGUCUUGUGGCUAAUGGCGCGUCGUGGAAUCUGCUUUGUUCCUGCCGGAUCGACUCAUGCAUAUGUCAAUGGACAUUAUAUAUUCUUGUGGCAUCUCAGUUUUUUUCGCAGUUCGUUUCCGUGCCAAACGGUCAGCAUGCUCACAUUUUGAAACAUUUCUCUUUUUCUGGCACCAAAUGGUCAUUAUUCUUAUGAUCGAAAUGUGUGAGAGCCAAACGUAACGUAAGAGAGGGGCUGUAGCUCAGAGCAUAAGAUAAGAAUCCAGCUGGUUCAGGCUAAAGGUCUGUGCUGAAUCCUGGAAAAUAUGUCUGUACACUAGACUGUGUGUACACACCAUACAUUUAAAAACACAUGACUUUCCCCAAAGAAUCCUGGGAACUGAAGUUUAUCCCUCAUAGAGCUACAAUUCCCAGGAUCCACAACAAACUAAAAUUCCCAGGAUUCUUUUGGGGAAGGAGGAGGCAUGUGUAUUAAAUAUAGGGUGUGCCCACAGCCUAACUGUUAAUAUGAACAUACAGUGGUACCUCGGGUUACAUACGCUUCAGGUUACAGACUCCACUAACCCAGAAAUAUUACCUCAGGUUAAGAACUUUGCUUCAGGAUGAGAACAGAAAUCGUGCUCCGGCGGUGCAGCGGCAGCAGGAGGCCCCAUUAGCUAAAGUGGUGCUUCAGGUUAAGAACAGUUUCAGGUUAAGAACAGACCUCCGGAACGAAUUGAGUAUUUAACCAGAGGUACCACUGUAUAGUACACAGUGAUGCUAACAGAAUUUUCUGGGUCCAGAAUCCUGUAUGCAGAUUGGGUCCUAUGACCUACUCACAAAAGCAGGCGCAGACUUGCAUAAAAUUUGCAUAUGCUGUGUUGCAUGCAAAGUUGUUUCCUCUUUUGCGAUUGGAGUGGCAUGCGGAAAAAUAAAUCGGUGGCUGCACAUGUAAUAAAAUGUCUGACAGAAUGCAGACAGGUGAAGCUUUCCCCCCAUAAUUAUUUUUCCACGCUAGAAAAGGUUUAACCUGUUGAAUUUAUGCUUGACACAUAAUUGUUAAAGGCACAAGAAAUCUGCUUUCCCACAAUGAUGACCCUAAAUUAAAGCCUGGGCUGCAAUCCUGUACCCAUGUACCUGCGACUAAGCCCUACUAAACACAAAGUGACGUACUUCUGGGUAGACAUGUAUACCAUUGUACUGUAAGUUAAUUAUAUAGUGGAUUCUUAAUUAAUGCUUUGCCUUUAGCUCAAGCACAGCAGGAGAAAUGCCUAAGCCUCUUUGUAAAGUUUUCAUAUUUUGCAUUUUCCAGUUCUGGGGCGGUCUUUUAACAUCUACCUGCUCUUAUUGUGCCGUGAUACUUGCAGAAAAUAACUUUUACGGAAUACCUGAUCUCAGCUAACCCCCUACCCCACAGUAAAGAUGCAUCCUGAUUACUAGGGGAAAAGGAAGGGCAAAAACUAUGGAGAUUCCAAAAACUGGAAAAUGAGGCAGAAACAGGAAAAAUGCACUAAAGGGGAGGAUGAAAUAGCUUUUUGGGAUCCUGGGGAUUACCAUCAUCUGGAGCACAAAUAAGUCACAUCUCUGACUUCACUCAUUGGCUAAAAACACUGAAAGGUGGGAGCAACCAGGUUGGUGCAUCUCACAAAAAUUGUCUCAAUGGUUGCCUUCCUUCUGGGGGGCUAGAGACUUACAUUUUUAAAAAUGAAAGCUCAGAGUGUGGGGCUCCUGCUGGCUGAAGGCCUGGUACAUCAGUACCCCCUGUACUCUGAGCAUCUGUGACAUUAUGUCACCAAAGGCCCAUCUAGUCCUGCCUCCUGUUGCUCACAGUAGCCAAUCAUAUGAUUCCAAGAAGUCCACCAAGAGGACAUGAGGCUCAUGGCCUACCCAUGCUCUUGUUUUCCAGUGAUUGGUAGACGGGCAGACUGAUUUGGCCUUGGAGAAAAUACAACUUAACAACUUGGGACCAGUUUACUAAUGAAAUUGCCUUACUCCAUCUGUGCACAGUUGACUACCUAGAUAUGUGAAUUUGGUACUUUUACAAGUGCCAUAUAAUAUCCACAUUGUAUCUGUAAGAUCUUGGAUCCUUUAGGGUGGUGUCACCAACACUUGGGAACCUAUUGGCAGGCACCUAUCAGGCAGGCACUUCCACUAUUUCUUUUGGCGCCUGCUGAAGAUAUUCUUAUUUAGACAAGGCUACCCAGUUGGUUACAAAGUUUGUAGGCAUUUAAACUUAGUCUAUUUUAUUGCAGUUUUAACAUUCUGUAUGUUUUAAAUUAUGGUUGCAAACUUUUUAGUGAUAACUUUAUUGUUUAUCUGCUUUGUAAACAAUUUUGAGGGUUUUUUCUACUAUCAAGCUGUAUAUAAAUUUUAUGAAAUAAAUAAAUAGGCAUAACAACUAGUAGCCAUAGGUAGUCCUAUCCUCUAUGAAUUUGUCUUUUGUCAUUUUAAAGCUGUCCACAUUGGCAGCCAUCACUGCAUCAUGUGGGAGCAAGUUCUAUAAUUUAACAAUUCUCUGUGUGAAGUGUUUCCUUUUGUCUGUCAUGAAUGCCCCACCAUUCAGAUUCAUGCUGGUGUUAUGAAAGGGGGGCGGCGCAGAACUUCUCUAUUCAGUUUCUCUGCAUUUUCUAAACCUGUAAAAUGUUACUUUUGGGUGGUACAGUAUCUGCAGAAGUUCCCAGGCUCAGUCCCCAAUGGCAUCGCCAGGUAAGGCUGGGAGAGACUUCCUCCCUAAAACCCUAGAGAUUCACUGCCGGUCAGUGUAGGCAGUACUAAAGUAGAUGGACCCCAAUGGGCUGACUCAGUGUAAAGCAACUUAUUCAGUCCCUAAUUUCCCUUAAACUAAUUGCAGUCCUUCAACCCCUUUUAUGUUUUUAUUCUGGCAUCUGAAAUACAUAAGCACAAUGAUAAGCUUUUAUGAAGCUCAAAGACUACAUAGUCCACAAUGCACCGCCACUGAAAUCAGGAGACAUGUAUGUGCAAUUAUGCCUGGGGCCUUUAAUUGAAAAUGUGUUCUCUUUGCAUUCUUCUAGUUAGGUCUUUCCAUUCUCCUCUCCGCACCCACCAAUCUAAAUGUUAAGCUUCCUCCAUCUGUCUCAUCUGAGUAACAUAAUGAAGACCAAUUGAGGGGCAGAAGAGUGUGCUUUCAGAAUGAAUUGUCAGGUUGCUGUUAUAUUGGCACAUGGCUGCGAAGAAACCCUCCACUGUAAAACUACUUCCCAUUUCUACAUGUGCGAUGUCAACCUUUCCUCAACAGGGUGUCCUGUUUCGGACUACAACGCCUUCAGCCCAAACCAGCAUGACAUUUUCAUCCUUUGCCUUAAUCUUGUCUUGUCUGGGGCUUCAUUAAAGCUGGGGGACCACGUGUGUUGAAUGCGCACAAUCUGCUUUGAUUUGGGGUUGUUUGUAGGAAUUAACAAGGAGGUGCCACUAAGCAUGUCUGCGCUGUCCUUCCUUGUCCACCAAGCAACCUUCACCACUGCUCUCAUUCAGGAGUACAUGACCUUUGAGUAUGCAUGAGUUCCAGCAGAAAUUAAUUUUUUUAGGAAUUCAUGCCUCCUUUUCUCACAAUUUCAGUUCCUUUAAUAAGCUAUGAUUCCCCCCCCCACAACAAUUGCAAACAAC
rnacentral:lncRNA from 1 species